CAUUCAGCACAGCACCAAGUAGACAGUUGUUACUCAGUCAAUUUGGUAGAAAUUGCAUGAGAAAAGUUGAGACCAUAGUUUCUUGAUCGGCUAAGCAAUGGUAUGACUAUGAGGUCAUUCUAGACAGAGAUGGGCCAGGUCCCCUAGGCAGGAAGGGCACACUUACACAUCUUUAAUAGGUCAGGUCUGAUCACGUGAGCAGUUGCUCUACCAGUCGAUGGGAUCUGAAAUGCUAGAACCAGCUCCAGCCACACCGGAGCCAUGCCAGGGCCGAGCAGGCUUCUUGGGAGCUGGUGUGUGUCCCCUGCAGAUGGAGGCUACCGAGACCAGCUCAGCUGGGGAGACCCAAACCCGGUUGGCUUCUGUGGAUGGAGGCUCCAUGGGAGUGGCAGAUCUGGGGUGGGAGCUGAGCUUCCAGGGUUUCAUCUCACGGGGAUAGAAUGGAAGACUUCCCUUGGCCCUCCUUCCUGUUGCCCUAGCCUGGAGCCAUCUUUAUCUCAUCAGGCAUCUGCAGUGACUGGGCCAAUAACUCCAGUGGUACUAGAGGAAUUAAAGACACACACACAGAAAUAUAGAGGUGUGAAGUGGGAAAUCAGGGGUCUCACAGCCUUCAGAGCUGAGAGCCCCAACAGAGAUUUACCCACAUAUUUAUUAACAGCAAACCAAUAAUUAGCAUUGUUUCUAUAGUUAUUAAAUUAACUAAAAGCAUCCCUUAAGGGAAACAAAGGGAUGGGCCGAAUUAAAGGAAUAGGUUGGGCUAGUUAACUGCAGCAGGAGCAUGUCCUUAAAGCACAGAUCGCUCAUGCUAUUGUUUGUGGCUUAAGAAUGCCUUUAAGCGGUUUUCCGCCCUGGGCAGGCCAGGUGUUCCUUGCCCUCAUUUCCGUAAACCCACAACCUUCCAGCUUGCGCGUUAGGGCCAUUAUGAACAUGUCACAGUGCUGCAGAGAUUUUGUUUAUGGCCAGUUUUGGGGCCAGUUUAUGGCCAGAUUUUGGGGGGCUUGCUCCCAACGGAGGCCCCAUGGCAGUGGCAGAUCUGGGCAUCUCUGGCUUCUGUGGAUGGAGGCCCCAUGGGAGUGGCAGAUCUGGGCAUCUCUGGCUUCUGUGGAUGGAGGCCCCGUGGGAGUGGCAGAUCUGGGCAUCUCUGGCUUCUGUGGAUGGAGGCCCCAUGGGAAUGGCAGGUCUGGGCAUCUCUGGCUUCUGUGGAUGGAGGCCCCGUGGGAGUGGCAGGUCUGGGCAUCUCUGGCUUCUGUGGAUGGAGGCCCCGUGGGAGUGGCAGAUCUGGGCAUCUCUGGCUUCUGUGGAUGGAGGCCCCGUGGGAGUGGCAGAUCUGGGCAUCUCUGGCUUCUGUGGAUGGAGGCCCCGUGGGAAUGGCAGGUCUGGGCAUCUCUGGCUUCUGUGGAUGGAGGCCCCGUGGGAGUGGCAGGUCUGGGCAUCUCUGGCUUCUGUGGAUGGAGGCCCCGUGGGAGUGGCAGAUCUGGGCAUCUCUGGCUUCUGUGGAUGGAGGCCCCGUGGGAGUGGCAGAUCUGGGCAUCUCUGGCUUCUGUGGAUGGAGGCCCCGUGGGAGUGGCAGAUCUGGGCAUCUCUGGCUUCUGUGGAUGGAGGCCCCGUGGGAGUGGCAGAUCUGGGCAUCUCUGGCUUCUGUGGAUGGAGGCCCCGUGGGAGUGGCAGAUCUGGGCAUCUCUGGCUUCUGUGGAUGGAGGCCCCAUGGGAAUGGCAGAUCUGGGGUGGGAGCUGAGCUUACAGGGUUUCAUCUCAUGGGGAUAGAAUGGAAGACUUCCCUUGCCCUCCUUCCUGUUGCCCGAGCCUGGAGCCAUCUUUAUCUCAUCAGGCAUCUGCAGUGACUGGGCCAACAACUCCAGUGGCACUGAGCUCUGUAAAUGAAAGAGGUGAGAGAAAAGGCAUGAAAAGCAGCCCGACCCAAGUUGGGAGGCUGGACCUGUGGUUCCUGAGGAGGCCUGGGCUCCAGUGGCGAGCUGCUGGGGCGCUUCCACCCCACACUCCAUCCCCUUGUUUUCGGGUGAGCCAUAGAUAAUAACAAUUCCGCUGAAGAAACUGAUGGCGUUGCAGUUUUGGGAGGUUAUCCCACCCUAGUGGGCGGCCAGAAGAACCCAGGCUACUAAUCUUUAGCUCGGGGGUUAUUUAACUGGUCUGACAUAGUCUCCUCCUCAUGUGCAUAGUCAUUUGAGAAGAAUCAAUUACCAUGAGAGGUUCAGACUGUUGGAACUAGGCUAAAUCUCUCUCUUUUUUUUUAAAUAGAGAUGGGGGUCUCACUGUGUUGCCCUGGCUGGUCUUGAACUCCUAGGCUCAAGCCAUCCUCCCACCUCAGCCUCCCAAAGUGCUGAGAUUACAGGCGUGAGCCACCGUGCCUGGCCCUAGACUAAAUUCUAAAACGACCUGGUCUUGUCUUAGUUCACUAAGGGGGAAACUGAGGUUCAGAAAUGGGAAGUAACUUUCUGAUGGUCACAAAGCUGGUUAGUAGCAAAGCAGGUAACUUUAGUGAGGCUAUCAGCCAAAAAGUCAAGGAUUUUUUUUCUAUCUUUUGCUUCCAAAGUUUGUUUUAUUAGUUGCAAAACAUAUACAAAUUAUAAAUGUUUUAGGUUUUACUUGAUCAGCGGUUUGGCUUAGGAGUCAAGGAGAUUAGAACUCCAGUCCUGGUUCUACCAUUGGCGACAGGAUCUUGGGGAAGUCACCUCCCUGUCCUGAGCCUGUUUCCCCAUCUGUCAUAGAAGGGAGUUGGACUAGAUCUCUCUAAAAUCUCUUCCAGCUCUGUCAUGCUGCAAUUCUCAGCAAGUGCAGAGCUCAAAUUACGCAUUUGCCGAAGACCUUCCGUUAAAUUCCAGUGGGGGAGCCGUAUCCCUCCUUGAAGACGGCAUUGCUGCUUUCAUUGAGUGGAACCGUGAGCCAGGGUAGAUUCAGCAAUUUCCAGCCCAGGGACUUGUGUGGCUUCUCCACCCGGCAGCAGCCGGAGCCUUCUGACCCCGUGGGGCCCUGGAACCCAUGAAUCAAAAUAGUUGUGUGAUGUCAUGUCACAAUGGGAAUGUGCUCUGGCCAAUUGGUGCCAAGAAUUGUCUGCCCAGGGUGGUUUCCUUUUACAGUCUGUUUAAAGAGACAUCAUGCACGGCUGCACAUGACUUGCAGGCUUGUGCCUCCUUUGCCUAUCUGGUCUUCCCUCCUUUUUUUUUAAUUUUAAGGAGAAAAAAAAAAAAAAAAAAAAAAAAGCCCUGGAGAGUAUCAGUGAGCAGCUGACCUUAACUACAUCAACAAAUCCCCUGCGAAGUUCUGUUUGCGCUUCCGGCAGCUUCUUGCUACUUAAGGACAGCCGGGCUGACGCUCCAGCUGCUGUGGCCGGAGGUGCAGCCCCGUCAGGACGGCUCCACUCCCUGGCGCCUCACAGACUCUGGGGCUGCGGUGAGGUCGCCCUGAAGACCCCCUGGUGAGGACGCUUGAACCCGGGCUGUCACCUGAGCACAGGCUGCCACUCUGAGCUUUUGGGGCGCCCUGUGCCCGUCGGGCUGGUGCUCCUCUGGCUCCCGGCCACCUGGGGCUGACACCGGUUCUGUGGGUCCUGAUAUGUUCACCUGUCGCCACUCCUGUGGCCACAGCUACCCAUGAAGCGCUUUGGCAGCCUCAGGAGCAACAAGAAACACAAGGACCAAAAUCGAAGCACGGAGAGGCGCCAGUCGGAGCCUCAUGGCCUUUUCGCCUCCGGCCUCUCCUCCUCUCCGUCAACACCCACCCAAGUGACCAAGCAGCACACGUUUCCCCUGGAAUCCUAUAAGCACGAGCCUGAACGGUUAGAGAAUCGCAUCUAUGCCUCGUCUUCCCCUCCGGACACAGGGCAGAGGUUCUGCCCAUCUUCCUUCCAGAGCCCGACCAGGCCUCCACUGGCAUCACCGACACACUAUGCUCCCUCCAAAGCCGCGGCGCUGGCGGCGGCCCUGGGACCCGCGGAAGCCGGCAUGCUGGAGAAGCUGGAGUUCGAGGACGAAGCAGUAGAAGACUCAGAAAGUGGUGUUUACAUGCGAUUCAUGAGGUCACACAAGUGUUAUGACAUCGUUCCAACCAGUUCAAAGCUUGUUGUCUUUGAUACUACAUUACAAGUUAAAAAGGCCUUCUUUGCUUUGGUAGCCAACGGUGUCCGAGCAGCGCCACUGUGGGAGAGUAAAAAACAAAGUUUUGUAGGAAUGCUAACAAUUACAGAUUUCAUAAAUAUACUACAUAGAUACUAUAAAUCACCUAUGGUACAGAUUUAUGAAUUAGAGGAACAUAAAAUUGAAACAUGGAGGGAGCUUUAUUUACAAGAAACAUUUAAGCCUUUAGUGAAUAUAUCUCCAGAUGCAAGCCUCUUCGAUGCUGUAUACUCCUUGAUCAAAAAUAAAAUCCACAGAUUGCCCGUUAUUGACCCUAUCAGUGGGAAUGCACUUUAUAUACUUACCCACAAAAGAAUCCUCAAGUUCCUCCAGCUUUUUAUGUCUGAUAUGCCAAAGCCUGCCUUCAUGAAGCAGAACCUGGAUGAGCUUGGAAUAGGAACGUACCACAACAUUGCCUUCAUACAUCCAGACACUCCCAUCAUCAAAGCCUUGAACAUAUUUGUGGAAAGACGAAUAUCAGCUCUGCCUGUUGUGGAUGAGUCAGGAAAAGUUGUAGAUAUUUAUUCCAAAUUUGAUGUAAUUAAUCUUGCUGCUGAGAAAACAUACAAUAACCUAGAUAUCACGGUGACCCAGGCCCUUCAGCACCGUUCACAGUAUUUUGAAGGUGUUGUGAAGUGCAAUAAGCUGGAAAUACUGGAGACCAUCGUGGACAGAAUAGUAAGAGCUGAGGUCCAUCGGCUGGUGGUGGUAAAUGAAGCAGAUAGUAUUGUGGGUAUUAUUUCCCUGUCGGACAUUCUGCAAGCCCUGAUCCUCACACCAGCAGGUAAAAUGCUGGUUUCUGACCUUUGCCAUCGGCGUCUAGGAAGGGUGGGAGGUAGAACAGGAAGUGCAGCAUUUAAACCGUCAUUUCUCCACCCACCUACAGAUCAAGGCUUUGAGUAUAUUACUUUGAAACCAUUUUCGUUUUCUUUUCAGUUGGGAAGUUUAAGUGUUCUGCGUGAGUGAGGAAAGUGUAUAAAACGUAUUCGAAGUUAAGAGCAUCCUGUCAAGGUCCAGUGGCCCCCUAAAUGACUUGGGAGCCAUUGCCAUGUUCAUCAUAACCUUUUCCACUGAAAAGACCUCUUCACUUGUGCUUUGUGAGAGAACUAGUGACCAGAAACAUAGAGGGAACAUCACUGGCUUCUAUUGAUACCUUCAUCUUUCCUUAAAGAGAAAAAAAAACUUAUAUUUUGAGUAGAUAAAACAGAAUACCUAAACACAAACUUUUAUUCAUUAAUAUUGUACAGAAAUCACAUUCACUUUCAAAUAGAGUGUGGUUAAACUCAUUUUUUGACAGAUUCACUUUGAGCAAGCCCUCAGAGUCUCAGACAGUGAGGAGCAGAGAGAACGGGAGAGGGCUUUAGACAAGAGGAGCUGGCCUUCCUCUCAUUUCACACACUCAGUAGUAAGAGGUGGGCUUCAGAGUUCUUAAAACUGCCAGCCCUCCCUUCCCUCCUCCUCUUCCUCCCAUCCCUCCACCUCCCCAGCCCCAGUCAAAUAUGAACAACCCAGCCUUUGUCGGGGCCACAUGGACCCGAUGUGGGAGCAAACAGCAUGCCCUUUGAACUCUCAGAAUCCAAUAUUAAACGGUGUGUGUGCUACAGUAUUGAUUUCUCUUUAGUUCAGAAAUUUCAGUUAAGACUAGUUUUUACAAUUAAGUCUGUAACCCAAAAAUACCUACCCUAAAGGAAUCUUCACCACCUGCAAGAAACAUGUCUUAUUCGCUAAAUGAGAACACCAAGAGAAAUUCCAGUACAGCAGUGAUCUUUCCGAGGUGGUCCUCAGGCCAGGCAUCAUCACCACCACCUGGAAUUUACUAGAAAAUGAAAUGUUCAUGUUGGGGCCCCAUCCCAUAUCCACUGAAUCAGAAACUCUAGAAAUGGGGCCUGGUUCAGUCACUUGCAAACUUCAAGUGUUUAAAAGACCUGAAUCUCACAAUAGUCUCUAUAAUCAUGAAACAUUAAGAACUAAACGAAUGUUAAUGCCAUAAAACUGGGAAUAAUCCAAAUAUCUUUGAAAAGAAGAAUGGAUAAAUUGUGUCACAUUCAUUCGAUGGAAUACGAUACAGGAUUGAAAACGAACAGUACAGCUGCGUUCAACAGUGGAGGAAUCUCAAAGGCAACAUUGAACAGAGGGAGCCAGGCUCAUCCAGACCAUCACUAAAUUCAUAUAAAUUUCCAGGCAGGCAUAACUGCACAGCACAUUUGUGCUAACUAGAAAAGGCCUCUUCUCUGGGCAGAUUUAUCCCCACAGGUAUAUAGCUUAGCACCUUCAGAAAAAGAUGCCCCGUUUCCAGCCCUGGACCACGGGACACAGUCUGCCCAGCGGGUCAGGCUGAAUGUCAGCUCUUGUCUGUCUCUUUGAGCAUUACAAAAAGAGUAAACAAGUCAAGUGAUUCAUCCUCUCUGUUUCUUGAUAUCUCAAACCAUAAGAAUGAACGGUUGUGCUGGAUGAGUUCAAAUUUCCAUCCAGAUUUGGUAUUUCAAAAAUUCUAAGUCAUUGCAAUGCCCCUCCCAUCACUGCUGGUGCAGAGAGGAAUCUAUUUCCAGCUGGAAUUUGGAAUGUAUGUUACCAUAGAAAUUGUGCCAUGAAGAUGGGGGUAGCUGGAUUGGAAUUCCUUAUGAUACAGUGUAUACAACACGAUUCGUUGAGGAAAACAUUCCGUGUUACUAAUAACUGGAUUACAAGUGAACUUUUGGAGUGGAACUCAGGGAGCGCCUGCAUCUGAUCAACAGUCGCAAAUGAGGAGGCCCCCACCGUGAGGCCAAGUCCCAGCUGUCCCGCCCGAGCGCUGUCUGAAUGUGCCAAACAAAAGGAGACAGAAACGGAGUGACCGCCGUGAAUGUAGACGCCCUAGGAGGAGAACUUGAACAAAGUUUCUGGGUCACGUUUUGCCUCAUGAACACUGGCUGCAAGUGGUUAAGAAUGUAUAUCAGGGUUUAACGAUAGGUAUUUCUUCCAGUGAUGUUGAAAUUAAGCUUAAAAAAGAAAGAUUUUAUGUGCUUGAAGAUUCAGGCUUGCAUUAAAAGACUGUUUUCAGACCUUUGUCUGAAGGAUUUUAAAUGCUGUAUGUCAUUAAAGUGCACUGUGUCCUGAAGUUUUCAUUAUUUUUCAUUUCAAAGAAUUCACUGGUAUGGAACAGGUGAUGUGGCAUAAGGUGAGUGCACGGUAUGUUCAGAUCACAGUGCCUUAUGUCCGAAUACAGCAAUAUGUCACCGCCGCAGCCGGGGCGCACGUGUGUGAAACAACACCGAGCUUGAAUGUGGAAGUCUUUGAACCUUUUACCAAAUCAGUUUGUUUUCUUUAGAUUUGUCAAAAAGUUGUAAUUUGAAUAUAAAUAAUUACUUUAAAAUUUUAAUGACACUUUUACACGUAAGUGUUUUGUUCUGGGCUACCGUGUCAACGAGGCUGCUUUACAACAGCUUUAUUUAUUUUUACUUUCAUGCAAUUUUUUUACACAUCUUUUGGUGGAGUAAACUUCACCACAUCCAUGAAUAAACUCUCAGUUAUUUUGAAAUGGCAAAUUUCUCAUUAUUUAAGUUUGGAUCUGGAAAGGACAUGACUUCUGAAAUAGCCGCUGCUGGGUUUUAAAAGCUGAGGUCUCUCAAAGUGUGGAGGAGACGUUGCCGUCAGGCGGGAGCCAAGUGCCGGGAAGAUGUCUAUUUUUUUUCUUGUGUAUUGAAAUGUAAAAUCAUGAUGUUUGUAUGACUGCUGAUGAGAUUGUUUUUGUAAAUUUUAUUGUGGCAUAUACAGUAUUGUCAUACAGUUGAAGAGAAACAAUGUUUCCUAAUGUAAGUGCUCUGAAAAUGUUGACACUGUAUAUAUAUAUAUGAGGAUAGUUUGGGUUUUUUUGUUUUGGGGUUUUUUUUUUCAGAUUGAAAAAUUAAAAUAAAUCCUACUAUCUACCA